UUGUAACAAAAGUAAUGAAUUGUCAUACCACUCUUAAUAUUUUCUACAAUGAUUGUAUUCUAAAUCUAUAAAAUUUUGAAUUUUUUUUGCUUUUGUAUUUUUACACAUUCUAACAAUGAAUUGUUACAAACUUAAAGCAUGAUCUUUUAAAACCAUGUUCAUUGAUAUAGGAGAAUCUAAUGGCAUUUACUAUUGCUUGGAUCCUGCUUGUCACAAUGUACACCUUUAU
rnacentral:lncRNA from 1 species